UACGUAGGGUGCGAGCGUUAAUCGGAUUUACUGGGCGUAAAGCGCGUGUAGGCGGCAGGGCAAGUCUGGUGUGAAAGCCCGGGGCUCAACCCCGGAAGUGCAUUGGAAACUGCUCUGCUUGAGUACCGGAGAGGAAGGGGGAAUUCCCGGUGUAGCGGUGAAAUGCGUAGAUAUCGGGAGGAAUACCAGUGGCGAAGGCGCCCUUCUGGACGGUUACUGACGCUCAUGCACGAAAGCGUGGGGAGCAAACAGG
rnacentral:rRNA from 1 species